UUAUUACUUCUUCUGUCUAACAAAAAAUGUCUCAAGUUUGUUAAAAUUUAGAUGUAUCUAGGCAUGAAUUAGUAUAUAGAUGCAUUCAAAUUUGGUCAAAGUUGAGACAUCCUUUGUUGAACGGAGUGAGUAUCAU
rnacentral:pre_miRNA from 1 species